rnacentral:rRNA from 2 species
GAUGAACGUUGGCGGCGUGCCUAAUACAUGCAAGUCGAACGGAGAUUGUAGCAAUACGGUCUCAGUGGCGAACGGGUGAGUAACGCGUUGGUGACCUGCCCCGAAGUGUGGAAUAACAGAUCGAAAGAGCUGCUAAUACCGCAUAAUAUCCAGAAGAUUAGACGCUUUUGGAUUAAAGGAUUUAUUCGCUUCGGGAGGGGCCUGCGUCCCAUCAGCUAGUUGGUAAGGUAAUGGCUUACCAAGGCUAUGACGGGUAGGGGACCUGAGAGGGUGGCCCCCCACAAUGGAACUGAAACACGGUCCAUACACCUACGGGUGGCAGCAGUAGGGAAUAUUAGUAAUGGGCGAAAGCCUGAACUAGCAACGCCGCGUGUGCGAAGAAGGCCUUCGGGUUGUAAAGCACUUUUAGAGAGGAUGAGGAAGGACGGUACUCUCAGAAUAAGUCUCGGCUAACUACGUG